rnacentral:rRNA from 1 species
UUGCCGCUCUCAAGUGCUGUGCAAUGGUGGGGUGAGUGGCAGCUACAAGUCCUCACUCUUGGCAGCCUUGGUAUCCAGUACGUCCUCGCUAUUUUCGCCAACUUCCGCAAGUCCCAUACCCCACAGUGCUUCAAAUUUGUCACCUGGUUAGCGUUCCUUGGAAGCGAUGCUGUUGCGAUAUAUGCUCUCACCAUGCUCUUCAACCGGCAAAGGUACCAGAAGCCAUACAGCUCUGCCUCUGAGAAUGACACCCUUGGUCUGCAGAUGCUUUGGGCACCUAUCUUGCUGAUGCACCUUGGCGGGCAGGCCGGCAUAACAGCCUAUAAUAUCGAAGAUAAUGAGCUAUGGAGGCGGCAUAUUGUUACCGCGCUGUCUCAGAUGUGA